rnacentral:rRNA from 1 species
UACGAAGGGUGCAAGCGUUAAUCGGAAUUACUGGGCGUAAAGGGUGCGUAGGCGGUUCGUUAAGUCUGUCGUGAAAUCCCCGGGCUCAACCUGGGAAUUGCAAUGGAUACUGGCAGGCUGGAGUAUGGUAGAGGAAGGUGGAAUUCCCGGUGUAGCAGUGAAAUGCGUAGAGAUCGGGAGGAACACCAGUGGCGAAGGCGGCCUUCUGGACCAAUACUGACGCUCAUGCACGAAAGCGUGGGGAGCAAACAGG